UCGAUGGGAAACAGGUUAAUAUUCCUGUACUUGGUGUUACUGCGAAGGGGGGACGGAGAAGGCUAUGUUAGCCGGGCGACGGUUGUCCCGGUUUAAGCAUGUAGGCUGGUUGUCCAGGCAAAUCCGGAUAAUCAAGGCUGAGGUGUGAUGACGAGGCACUACGGUGCUGAAGUAACAAAUGCCCUGCUUCCAGGAAAAGCCUCUAAGCAUCAGGUAACAU
rnacentral:rRNA from 1 species